ACCUUACCAGGUCUUGACAUACUCGUGCUAUUCCUAGAGAUAGGAAGUUCCUUCGGGACACGGGAUACAGGUGGUGCAUGGUUGUCGUCAGCUCGUGUCGUGAGAUGUUGGGUUAAGUCCCGCAACGAGCGCAACCCCUAUUGUUAGUUGCCAUCAUUAAGUUGGGCACUCUAACGAGACUGCCGGUGAUAAACCGGAGGAAGGUGGGGAUGACGUCAAAUCAUCAUGCCCCUUAUGACCUGGGCUACACACGUGCUACAAUGGAUGGUACAACGAGUCGCGAGACAGUGAUGUUUAGCUAAUCUCUUAAAACCAUUCUCAGUUCGGAUUGUAGGCUGCAACUCGCCUACAUGAAGUCGGAAUCGCUAGUAAUCGCGGAUCAGCACGCCGCGGUGAAUACGUUCCCGGGUCUU
rnacentral:rRNA from 1 species